AUGCGCAAUCGGAACUUCCUAUUCGAAGAUGGAAAUAAUUGUUUACAAGACUCUCAAAACCAAAAAUUUUGUUUGCAAAUAGUGACUGAUGUGCCUUAUGAUGUAGAUCUUGGAUAUUGUGCUUUUCCAGGAAAAAUAUCCAAGCGACAUGAGGUUUCCUGAGAAAAGUGUUUGUCUCACAUGGAAAAGCCAUUGUCUAAGAUUAUACAUAUUAAGUUAUGAGAGAGAGGGACAGAGAGAGAGAAAGAGAAAGACAGAUAGAGAGAGAGACACCAGUGUUCAGACAAAGGUUAACUUCCUAGAUAGACGAUUGAGGACCAAUAGUGUCAACGGAAAAAAAUCUACGCCAUGAAUAUUGCUUUAAUCAAUACUGGUUUAGAAAUGAUAAUGAAAUUCUGGUACAUUUUUUAUUGAUCGUGUGGUUUCAUGUAUUCUCCCAAAAUGAUGAUAUGAGAGAAUCAUUACACUAUUUACGUGUACAUGUACGUGUAAAUUGACAGACAGUAGCAUUGAAAGUUGGGUUACACAAUGUACAUAUUUUGCUGUUUUAAUGUUCCUAAACGAUCAUAUUGCCUUGUUCAUAUUAAUAUUUAGAUGUUUUAGUAAUACUCAAUAAAAAGUCAGAGUCUAAU
rnacentral:sRNA from 1 species